rnacentral:tRNA from 1 species
GGGCCCAUAGCUUAGCCUGGCUGGAGCACCCGACUGAUAAUCGGGAGGUCCUGCGUUCAAAUCGCAGUGGGCCCA